rnacentral:rRNA from 1 species
UACGGGAGGCAGCAGUGGGGAAUAUUGCACAAUGGGCGCAAGCCUGAUGCAGCCAUGCCGCGUGUAUGAAGAAGGCCUUCGGGUUGUAAAGUACUUUCAGUCGUGAGGAAGGUGUUAAGGUUAAUAACCUUAGCAAUUGACGUUAGCGACAGAAGAAGCACCGGCUAACUCCGUGCCAGCAGCCGCGGUAAUACGGAGGGUGCGAGCGUUAAUCGGAAUUACUGGGCGUAAAGGGCACGCAGGCGGUUAAUUAAGUUGGAUGUGAAAUCCCCGGGGCUUAACCUGGGAAUGGCAUUCAAGACUGGUUAGCUAGAGUCUUGUAGAGGGGGUUAGAAUUCCAUGUGUAGCGGUGAAAUGCGUAGAGAUGUGGAGGAAUACCGGUGGCGAAGGCGGCCCCUGGACAAAGACUGACGCUCAUGUGCGAAAGCGUGGGGAGCAAAC